rnacentral:misc_RNA from 1 species
ACCCUUAAGAAGCAAUAAUACAAUAGGCAGAGCCCAAAAGAAUUGAAAAUGAAGAACAAACACAGAGAAACGCUAUCGAUCUCUCUCUACUUGAAUUCAAUGAUUGGAGAAAGGCUCAUCUUCGUUUUGCUGCUUAUCUCCCAAAUGAUUUGCAGUGCUACGGAAACAAAUCAGUGUGCUCCGUCUUCAUGUGGCAAUAACCACAACAUUAGUUACCCUUUCCG